AGUGAACGCUGGCGGCAGGCCUAAUACAUGCAAGUCGAACGGCAGCACAGCAGAGCUUGCUCUGUGGGUGGCGAGUGGCGGACGGGUGAGGAAUACAUGGGAAUCUGCCCAGUCGUGGGGGAUAACGUAUGGAAACGUACGCUAAUACCGCAUGCGCCCUAAGGGGGAAAGCCGGGGACCGCAAGGCCUGGCGCGAUUGGAUGAGCCCAUGUGCGAUUAGCUAGUUGGCGGGGUAAGGCCCACCAAGGCGACGAUCGCUAGCUGGUCUGAGAGGAUGAUCAGCCACACUGGAACUGAGACACGGUCCAGACUCCUACGGGAGGCAGCAGUAGGGAAUAUUGGACAAUGGGGGCAACCCUGAUCCAGCCAUGCCGCGUGAGUGAAGAAGGCCCUCGGGUUGUAAAGCUCUUUUGUCCGGAAAGAAAAGCAAUCGGUGAAUACCCGGUUGUUCCUGACGGUACCGCAGGAAGAAGCACCGGCUAACUCCGU
rnacentral:rRNA from 1 species